CGUUUCGCCAUCUCAUAAAAUUGCCAUCUUUGGCACUUGCAGAUACAAAAAUACAAAAACAAAAACUCACAACACCAAGUUCCUAUCAUCGCGCCCUAUAACUUGGCGCUGAGGCUGACUGACUCUCUGAUGGACUGGGAAGACUAUACCGCCUGCCGAUUGGGACAGAGACGGGGACGACCAACAACGACGACGAUGACGACGACGCUUUGGCUAGAAGAUUACAAGAUACACCAACGACCGACACGAUGAUGAUGGCGAUGGCAAUGGUGAAGGCGAAGGCGAUGACUGGGUACGUUCGUGAUCAUCGUUCCACAUGGUUACCUUGGCGUGGAAUGGUUUUGGUCGGGCCCAAUGAUUCCCAUUUGUAUCCCAUCGCAUCGCAUCGUCUAUGGUGUUAAGCGGAGGCGAUAUUUUUUAAGAAAUUGAAAGCCCCAGUCAUAUAAAAACAAAAUUAUUAUGUAAGUACGUAUACACCACACAGAACGAUGGGUAUUAUCCUUCUCAGAUGCUCUGGAUAUACAUAUACAAACAAGGACCUCGACAUUUCGACAAUGGAGCGCUGGGCGGCGGUGAAAAUACGGAACUCAUGGCAAAUGGCUCCUGAUGAUGGGACGAGCGACGACGCACGGAAGGACGAAGGAUGAAUAGUGCAAAAACCGAUUAGGGACAAAACGUGGAAGUCCCUUAAGCAUAGCCAUAGAUUGCAGGCUUUCAUUCUGGUAUCUUCUUUUAUUUUUUUCGUAUACUUUCUCUUAUUUCUACAUCAGCUGUAAAUAUGGAUACAAAAAUUACGCGGAAAAGUAUUUUCAUCAUUUUUGAUUACACAGCAAGGAUAAUAUAUUGUCGGACCAGUAAAUACCAUUUUGUAUAUUUUUGAAUAUACAGAAAAGGUGGAGAGACGCUAAGCAAACGAUGAAGAAGAAGAAGAUGAAGCAAACCGAGCACAGAUGAAUUUACUCAACAAUUUAUCAUACAUAAGAAUAUAAUAUUUAAUAUCAAUAAUUUGACAAUAUAUAAAAUACAUACCUACAUACAUAUAUAAAUAAAUAGUACAAAAUAUUAAUUUUCUUUUUGUUCACUAUUUCGUCGGCUUUUAAA